AAGAAAGUGACAGAGUGGCUAUGUGGGUGGCUUGAAACUACCAUAUGGGGGUUCGAUUCCUCCCUUUCUCG
rnacentral:tRNA from 1 species